rfam:Candidatus Pacearchaeota archaeon CG1_02_32_132 cg_0.2_sub10_scaffold_616_c, whole genome shotgun sequence.
GUCCCGGUAGCUCAGCAGGUAGAGCGCACGGCUGUUAACCGUGAUGUCAGAGGUUCGAGUCCUCUCCGGGACG